UACGUAGGGUGCGAGCGUUUGUCCGGAAUUAUUGGGCGUAAAGAGCUUGUAGGCGGUUUGUCGCGUCUGCUGUGAAAUCUCAAGGCUCAACCUUGAGCUUGCAGUGGGUACGGGCAGACUAGAGUGUGGUAGGGGAGACUGGAAUUCCUGGUGUAGCGGUGAAAUGCGCAGAUAUCAGGAGGAACACCGAUGGCGAAGGCAGGUCUCUGGGCAUUAACUGACGCUGAGGAGCGAAAGCCAUGGGGGAGCGAACAGG
rnacentral:rRNA from 1 species